GCUCCGUCACCGCACUGUCCAGGAUGGUGCUGGCCAAGUGGGGAGAGCCCAGGGUUAUACACGAGGGGGCCCCAAAACCCCAAAAUGCACUUUAACCUUUACAGACAUGUUUUUGGACCGCUGAGGGGACACAGCCUCCGCGCACGGCAGAAGCAGAGAGGGCGGAGAGAGAAAGAAAGAGAGAAAAUGUAAAGGACCACAUCGGUGAUAAGAAAUGAACGUUGGCACUGGCAAGAUUUCCCAACAUUUGGGCGUGUUUUCGUCUCGCUUUGACUGCUCGAUAUCGGCCGUCCGCAGCAGCUUCCAGAAAUGUCACACACAGCUGAGCGACACACCUGCUGACAGUGGCACGAUAAUUAUGUCUGCACACUAUUGUUUGUUACCAACACCCUGAUAAAGGGUUUUUUUUUUUAUGUUUGAGCGCUUUAAAAAAAAAAAAAAAAAAAGGCUUUUUAGUACAUUUCUUUUAUCCUAACUAAACGCAUGAGUCUGGAAUUCUUUCCAACCUCUUUUUUGGUCAAGGGGAUAUGCUGAGAAAUGCAUUCAUUCGUUCUCUUCCACUUUUCCGAGGUCAGCAGAGAAGCCCAGACUUCCCCCUCCCC